rnacentral:tRNA from 1 species
UGUGGCUCAGUGGUACAGCACUUGCCUAGCAAGCAUGAGGCACUGGGUUUGAUCCCCGGCA